rnacentral:rRNA from 1 species
ACGCUGGCGGCGUGCUUAACACGAUGCAAGUCGAACGGGGUUAAGGAGCUUGCUCCUUAACUUAGUGGCGAACGGGUGAGUAACGCGUGAGGAACCUGCCUUUCAGAGGGGGACAACAGUUGGAAACGACUGCUAAUACCGCAUGAUACUUGCGAAUGGCAUCAUUUGCAAGUCAAAGAUUUAUCGCUGAAAGAUGGCCUCGCGUCUGAUUAGGCCUAAGGUUUGGUGGGGGUUAAACGGCCCACCAAGGCGACGAUCAGUAGCCGGACUGAGAGGUUGACCGGCCACAUUGGGACUGAGAUACGGCCCAGACUCCUACGGGAGGCAGCAGUGGGGGAAUAUUGGGCAAUGGGCGCAAGCCUGACCCAGCAACGCCGCGUGAAGGAAGAAGGCCUUCGGGUUGUAAACUUCUUUUACCAGGGACGAAUAAUGACGGUACCUGGAGAAAAAGCAACGGCUAACUACGUG